rnacentral:rRNA from 1 species
UGGGGGAAUUUUGGACAAUGGGCGAAAGCCUGAUCCAGCAAUGCCGCGUGUGUGAAGAAGGCCUUCGGGUUGUAAAGCACUUUUGUCCGGAAAGAAAUCCUCUGGGUUAAUACCUCGGGGGGAUGACGGUACCGGAAGAAUAAGCACCGGCUAACUACGUGCCAGCAGCCGCGGUAAUACGUAGGGUGCAAGCGUUAAUCGGAAUUACUGGGCGUAAAGCGUGCGCAGGCGGUUUUGUAAGACGGAUGUGAAAUCCCCGGGCUUAACCUGGGAACUGCAUUCGUGACUGCAAGGCUAGAGUAUGGCAGAGGGGGGUAGAAUUCCACGUGUAGCAGUGAAAUGCGUAGAGAUGUGGAGGAAUACCGAUGGCGAAGGCAGCCCCCUGGGCCAAAUACUGACGCUCAUGCACGAAAGCGUGGGGACAAACAGGAUUAGAUACCCUGGUAGUCCACGCCCUAAACGAUGUCAACUAGUUGUUGGGGAUUCAUUUCCUUAGUAACGUAGCUAACGCGUGAAGUUGACCGCCUGGGGGAGUACGGUCGCAAGAUUAAAACUCAAAGGAAUUGACGGGGUCAUAGCUG